ACUGUUUCCAAGAGUGAGAAACUUUACUAAUCUCUAAAAUACAAGUACGCUGUUGAUGUUAACAAUUGUAGCCCAAAUUAUUUUAUUUUCUGUUCAGUUUAUUUUGCACUUCUUGACUAUGUAUAGCUUACAUAUCAAAUACACGUUCUAUCUCUUCAUUCACUCGUUCACUAGCUCUCUCCAUAAACUGGCACCCAGAAAUUAAAUGGUUAACUGACAGACGAGACUAAAGAGAUU